ACGUCGAAGUACUGGUUCCCCUACAAUAACCGACGUUAAGCAACAUUGAGCCUGGUCAGUACCUAGAUGAGUGACCGCUUGGGAAAACAAGGUAUU